GGAGAGGUGGCUCAGCUGUUAAGAGCACUAGCUGCUUUUCUGGUGGACCUGGGUUCAAUUCCCAGUAUCCA
rnacentral:tRNA from 1 species